ensembl:miRNA
AGCUGGUUUCAUAUGGUGGUUUAGAUUUAAAUAGUGAUUGUCUAGCACCAUUUGAAAUCAGUGUU